rnacentral:rRNA from 1 species
AUUGAACGCUGGCGACAUGCUUUACACAUGCAAGUCGGACGGCAGCACAGAGAAGCUUGCUUCUUGGGUGGCGAGUGGCGAACGGGUGAGUAACAUAUCGGAACGUACCGGGCAGUGGGGGAUAACUAAUCGAAAGAUUAGCUAAUACCGCAUAUUUUCUGAGGAAGAAAGCAGGGGACCAUUUGGCCUUGCGCUGUUUGAGCGGCCGAUAUCUGAUUAGCUAGUUGGUGGGGUAAAGGCCUACCAAGGCGACGAUCAGUAGCGGGUCUGAGAGGAUGAUCCGCCACACUGGGACUGAGACACGGCCCAGACUCCUACGGGAGGCAGCAGUGGGGAAUUUUGGACAAUGGGCGCAAGCCUGAUCCAGCCAUGCCGCGUGUCUGAAGAAGGCCUUCGGGUUGUAAAGGACUUUUGUCGGGAAGAAAA